rnacentral:rRNA from 1 species
AUGAACGCUAGCUACAGGCUUAACACAUGCAAGUCGAGGGGCAGCAUUUUAGUUUGCUUGCAAACUAAAGAUGGCGACCGGCGCACGGGUGAGUAACACGUAUCCAACCUGCCGAUAACUCGGGGAUAGCCUUUCGAAAGAAAGAUUAAUAUCCGAUAGUAUAUUAAAACCGCAUGGUUUUACUAUUAAAGAAUUUCGGUUAUCGAUGGGGAUGCGUUCCAUUAGUUUGUUGGCGGGGUAACGGCCCACCAAGACUACGAUGGAUAGGGGUUCUGAGAGGAAGGUCCCCCACAUUGGAACUGAGACACGGUCCAAACUCCUACGGGAGGCAGCAGUGAGGAAUAUUGGUCAAUGGACGAGAGUCUGAACCAGCCAAGUAGCGUGAAGGAUGACUGCCCUAUGGGUUGUAAACUUCUUUUAUAUGGGAAUAAAGUAUUCCACGUGUGGGAUUUUGUAUGUACCAUAUGAAUAAGGAUCGGCUAACUCCGUGCCAGCAGCCGCGGUAAUACGGAGGAUCCGAGCGUUAUCCGGAUUUAUUGGGUUUAAAGGGAGCGUAGGUGGAUUGUUAAGUCAGUUGUGAAAGUUUGCGGCUCAACCGUAAAAUUGCAGUUGAAACUGGCAGUCUUGAGUACAGUAGAGGUGGGCGGAAUUCGUGGUGUAGCGGUGAAAUGCUUAGAUAUCACGAAGAACUCCGAUUGCGAAGGCAGCUCACUAGACUGCAACUGACACUGAUGCUCGAAAGUGUGGGUAUCAAACAGGAUUAGAUACCCUGGUAGUCCACACAGUAAACGAUGAAUACUCGCUGUUUGCGAUAUACAGUAAGCGGCCAAGCGAAAGCAUUAAGUAUUCCACCUGGGGAGUACGCCGGCAACGGUGAAACUCAAAGGAAUUGACGGGGGCCCGCACAAGCGGUGGAGCAUGUGGUUUAAUUCGAAGCAACGCGAAGAACCUUACCAGGUCUUGACAUCGAGUGACGAAUCUAGAGAUAGAUUUUUCCUUCGGGACACAAAGACAGGUGGUGCAUGGUUGUCGUCAGCUCGUGCCGUGAGGUGUCGGCUUAAGUGCCAUAACGAGCGCAACCCUUAUCUUUAGUUACUAACAGGUCAUGCUGAGGACUCUAGAGAGACUGCCGUCGUAAGAUGUGAGGAAGGUGGGGAUGACGUCAAAUCAGCACGGCCCUUACGUCCGGGGCUACACACGUGUUACAAUGGGGGGUACAGAAGGCAGCUACACGGUGACGUGAUGCUAAUCCCGAAAGCCUCUCUCAGUUCGGAUUGGAGUCUGCAACCCGACUCCAUGAAGCUGGAUUCGCUAGUAAUCGCGCAUCAGCCACGGCGCGGUGAAUACGUUCCCGGGCCUUGUACACACCGCCCGUCACACCAUGGGAGUCAGUAACGCCCGAAGUCAGUGACCUAACCGCAAGGAAGGAGCUGCCGAAGGCGGGACCGAUGACUGGGGUG